GAUGAACGCUGGCGGCGUGCCUAAUACAUGCAAGUCGAGCGAACAGACGAGGAGCUUGCUCCUCUGACGUUAGCGGCGGACGGGUGAGUAACACGUGGAUAACCUACCUAUAAGACUGGGAUAACUUCGGGAAACCGGAGCUAAUACCGGAUAAUAUAUUGAACCGCAUGGUUCAAUAGUGAAAGACGGUUUUGCUGUCACUUAUAGAUGGAUCCGCGCCGCAUUAGCUAGUUGGUAAGGUAAGGGCUUACCAAGGCAACGAUGCGUAGCCGACCUGAGAGGGUGAUCGGCCACACUGGAACUGAGACACGGUCCAGACUCCUACGGGAGGCAGCAGUAGGGAAUCUUCCGCAAUGGGCGAAAGCCUGACGGAGCAACGCCGCGUGAGUGAUGAAGUUCUUCGGAUCGUAAAACUCUGUUAUUAGGGAAGAACAAAUGUGUAAGUAACUAUGCACGUCUUGACGGUACCUAAUCAGAAAGCCACGGCUAACUACGUG
rnacentral:rRNA from 1 species